UAAACUAGGAUUAGAUACCCUAUUAUUUUUGAUCGUUAAUUGCCUGAGUAGUAUUAGUUAUGUUCUUGAAACUUAAAGAAUUUGGCGGUAUCUUAUUCCAUUCAGAGGAAUCUGUCUCGUUAUCGAUAGUCCGCGUUGGACCUUACUUGGGUUUGUAUACCGCCGUUUAUUGAUUAUCUUUUUAGAGUCUGGUAAAUUUUCUGGUUUCUUUAUUUUGAUUUAUUUCAGGUCAAGGUGCAGCUUUUUCUAAGUGUAGGAUGGAUUACAUUGUUAUUUGUUGUUUGGAUUGUUUGGGUUUAAAUUAUUUGCAUGAAAUUGGAUUUGGUUGUAAUGUUUAUGUAGAUUGUUUUCAUGAUAAUAGGUUCUAAGAUAUGUACACAUCGCCCGUCGCUCUCGUGUUAAUGAGAUAAGUCGUAACAUAGUA
rnacentral:rRNA from 1 species